GAUGAACGCUGGCGGCGUGCCUAAUACAUGCAAGUCGAGCGAACGGACGAGAAGCUUUCUUCUCUGAUGUUAGCGGCGGACGGGAGGGUAACACGUGGUUAACCUACCUAUAAGACUGAGAUAACUUCGGGAAACCGGAGCUACUACCGGAUAAUAUUUUGAACUGCAUGGUUCACAAGUGUAAUUCGGUCUUGCUGUCACUUAUGGAUGGAUCCGCCCUGCAUUAGCUAGUUGGUAAGGUAACGGCUUACCAACGCAACGAUGCAUAGCCGACCUGAGAGGGUGGACGACCAGACUGGCACUGAGACACGGCCCAGACUCCUACGGGGGGCAGCAGUAGGGAAUCUUACGCGAUGGGCGAAAGCCUGACGGAGCAACGCCGCGUGAGUGAUGAAGGUCUUCGGAUCGUAGAACUCUGUUAGUAGGAAGGAAGAUAUGUGUAAGUAACUGUGCACAUCUUGACGGUACCUAAUCAGAAAGCCACGGCUAACUACGUG
rnacentral:rRNA from 1 species